CUUUACACCACAAAGUUUUUUGUUACAUCUGGGAUGGCCUUCUAUGCCCCCUGAGAAACAAAUGUUGAUAAUUCAUAUUUUAAUGGCAGUAAAGUUAGCGGUGGCUAGAAACUGGAAAAGUAAAAAAGAAAUACAGUGGAGUGAAAUCAAAAUACAGGUAAUAUAUCAAUGUAAGAUGGAAAAGGGAUUAAUUUUAGGUAACUCUGUAGGUUUGAAGAAAUACAGUAAAUGGG